AGCAUGGAUUGGCUAUAUGCGCAUUAUGCCAAUAUAGAUUGCAGAAAGAAGCAGAUACAGUUGUUGAUUCAUGAGAUGCACCCUGUGGAAUUCCAAGCUCGUAAAGCCAGUCGAACUGAUAAGAUAAUGGUGUCUGCAUUGAAGACUAAACGUUUGAUAGAAAAUGGUAGUGUUGCAUUUUUUGUCAAUGUGUUGACCAAUGAGACUGAGCUGGUGAGGUUACAGGAUGUUGCCAUCGUGAAUAAAUACACUGAUGUGUUUCCUGAUGAACUGUCAAGUUUGCCUCCAACACGAAAAUGGAGUUCAAGAUAGAGUUGUUACCGGGAAUAGCGCCUAUUUCUAAGGCACCAUACCAUAUGGUAGCUGCAGAAUUAGAAGAAUUGAAAAAGCAAUUGCAGGAACUCUUGGAUAAGGGCUUCAUUCGACCUAGUGUGUCACCUUGGGGAACACCCGUAUUGUUUGUUAAGAAGAAGGAUGGAACAAUGCACUUGUGUAUAGAUUACCGCAUGUUGAACCAAGUCACCAUCAAGAAUAAGUAUCUACUUCCUAGAAUUGAAGACUUGUUUGAUCAACUCAAGAAUGCAAAAGUAUUCUUCAAGAUUUGUCUGAGGACGGGUUAUCAUUAACUUUUGAUACAAGAGGAAGAUGCUUCAAAAUAUGAAAAGAAAUUUUUGGUGGUCUGCAAUGAAACACGAAAUUGUAGAAUUUGUGGCAAAAUGCUUGGUUUGCCAAUGGGUCAAGGCAGAACAUCAAUGACCAGGAGAGUUGUUGCAGAGAAUUGAUAUUCCAAUGUGGAAAUGGGAGGACAUUACGAUGGAUUUCGUAGUUGGUUUGCCUCAUACCAGGAGACAACAUGAUGCCAUAUGGGUGAUUGUUGAUCGACUUACGAAGUCCGCUCAUUUUCUACCAAUUCGAAUUAGUCAGUCGUUGGAAAGUCUCGCAGAGUUAUACAUUAGCGAGAUAGUGAGAUUGCAUGGAGUGCCAAAGUCUAUCAUUGUGGAUCAAGAUCCAUGUUUUACCUCUAGGUUUUAAGAGCAAUUGCAAAAGGCAUUGGGUACCAAACUUAAGCUAAGCACAGCGUUUCACCCCCAAACUGAUGGGCAAUCUGAGAGGACCAUUCAAACCUUAGAGGACAUGUUACGUGCUUGUGUUUUGGACUGAAAAGGGAUAAACAUGUGAAAUUGACAAAGUUUGCAUAUAACAACAGUUACCAAUCUAGUAUUUGAAUGACACCUUUUGAGGCCUUGUAUGGAAGGCCAUGCAGAUCGCGAACUUGUUGGAUCGAAAUGGGUGAUGGCAAGAUCGAAAACCCUUUAGUAUUGUAACAUUACACCGACCAAGUACAAUUGAUAAGGAAGAAGUUGUUGAUUUCUCAAAGUAGACAGAAAAGUUAUGCCGACAAUCGAUGCAGAGAGUUGGCUUUUGGGGUUGGUGAUCAUGUGUUCUUGAAGAUUUCACCUACUAAAGGCGUUUUUCGAUUUGGUGUUAAGGGAAAGUUGAGCCCGAGGUUCGUAGGACCUUUUGAGAUAUUAGAAAAGAUCGGAGAGGUGGCGUAUAGAUUGGCACUACCACCUAACUUGAGUCAUGUUCAUGACGUUUUCCAUGUUUCCAUGCUUCUAAAGUAUGUACCAGAUCCUACACAUGUGAUUGAUUUUCAAGGCAUUUAGGUGCAAGAUGAUUUGACAAUGAAAGAAAAUUCUAUUACAAUUGUGGAUCAAAAAGAGCAAGUAGUUCGCACCAAGAGAAUUCCUCUAGUAAGAGUGGAAUGGCAACACUAUGGGUUGAAGGAGAGCACAAGGGAACUUGAGGAGGAUAUGCAAAACAAGUAUCCACAAUUGUUCUUGCAUUAAGGUAAGAUCUAAAUUUCGAAGACGAAAUUUUAUUUAAGAAAGGUAUCAUGUAACACUCGUCCUCUUUCAAGUGGGUCGGGUCGGGUCCAAACCUGGACCCGAACCCACUUGCGUGAGGAGCACGACACGGGGGGCUUUUUCCCCCUUGUCUUCCACUUCGUCUUUUUCCUUUGGCUCGACUGUCUGAGAAGAGGAGGGCGGAGGUGUGGCAGCGGCGAUGAUUGGGUCGAUGGAGGAAGGGCAACGGUGGCAGCGGCGACGGCGUUCCACAGUUUGCAGCUUCGGGACACAUCUUUCCCCUCAUACCAGUGAAGUGAAGGCGUUGGUGGUGAAGGCAGUGAUCAAUCAUUGGCGUUGACACUCCAUCAAACAUUUGAGGUGGCUAUCGAGAACAUUGCAGCAGUUUGGACACUAAUAUUGGGGUACACUGGGCACAUCCAAUAGACCUUGAGCAACAAUACGUGAAACUCGAGGCAUUUUGAAGUUUUUUGUGGAUGCGUGACAGAUAUGGCGGCAUUCCAGG